rnacentral:rRNA from 1 species
UGGGGAAUAUUGCACAAUGGGGGAAACCCUGAUGCAGCGACGCCGCGUGAACGAAGAAGGUAUUCGUAUCGUAAAGUUCUGUCCUAUGGGAAGAUAAUGACAGUACCAUAGAAGAAAGCUCCGGCUAAAUACGUGCCAGCAGCCACGGUAAUACGUAUGGAGCGAGCGUUGUCCGGAAUUAUUGGGCGUAAAGGGUACGCAGGCGGUUUAAUAAGUCGAAUGUUAAAGAUCGGGGCUCAACCCCGCAAAGCAUUGGAAACUGAUAAACUCGAGUAGUGAAGAGGAAAGUGUAAUUCCUAGUGUAGUGGUGAAAUACGUAGAUAUUAGGAGGAAUACCAGUAGCGAAGGCGACUUUCUGGACACAAACUGACGCUGAGGUACGAAAGCGUGGGGAGCAAACAGG